UACGUAGGGGGCAAGCGUUGUCCGGAUUCAUUGGGCGUAAAGCGCGCGUAGGCGGCUCGGAAAGUCGGGCGUGAAAUGCCGGGGCUCAACCCCGGGACUGCGUCCGAUACUUCCGAGCUGGAGGUAGGUAGGGGGAGAUCGGAAUUCCUGGUGUAGCGGUGAAAUGCGCAGAUAUCAGGAGGAACACCGGUGGCGAAGGCGGAUCUCUGGGCCUUACCUGACGCUGAGGCGCGAAAGCUAGGGGAGCGAACAGG
rnacentral:rRNA from 1 species